rnacentral:lncRNA from 1 species
GUUUGAAUUUAGGCGUCAAUAGUUGGAGAUCCGUCUGAUACCUUGGUUAGUUUUUGUUUACUUACGAAAAUUAGUUGAACUUGUGCGUACUGGCUGGGCCCACAUCCGACGACACCGCACUGAAGCCCGCGCUUGUGUGUACUCGCUAGCAACAUGGAGAAGGCGCAUACAUAUUUCAAUGCUGUCAUGACGGAGGAGCAGCCUGCGUCGAUGCCAAUUUUUGCAGCGACAUAAAAAGCAUGGAUAAGAUGGGUGGGGGGUUUUGAUAGGUCAGGACAGUCAGAAGCGGACCUUGCAACGGUCCGGACGUCCACAAGGCCUCCCGUGUUUGUCUUCUGUUUACGAAGAAAGUGAGUCCGGACCGCCUUGCUGACCGUUGUAAGACCGUAUUAGAUGCUUGAUGGCUGGAUGCAUUGAUAAAUUAACAGUACAUACAGAUUGAUAUAUCAUAUACGAUGUAGUUUUUAUAUUCACAAACUGAUCGCUAACUGAUCGCUGGUGUUAGCUGUUUGCUACUGUGUAAUGCCUGAAAAUGGCCAGGUCUGAAUCGUUUUUCUACCAAGGUCAACUAGUAACAUUGGAUCUUACUUGGAUGAUGGAUGUGGAGCCGCAUGUUACGGCGUGACUGAUGGGCAUGUCACCCGAUCCUAGUUCGUUUUCUUCUGUUUCAGUUUGCACUCUAUGACAUUGUUGGUUGCUAGAUCUUUCCGCUUUGGAGAGUCGUUUUCACCAAUUAUUUACGACGUCGGUGCUGGUACGACUGUUGCUAGCUUCUUUUCGUUGACAUGAAUUAAACAUUUACUGUAUUCUUGAGAGGCAAAUACAUAGGAAUAUACAUUACGUAUCGGUGCACAUAGUUGGUUCACUCCAAUAUCCCAAAUAUAUCAUAUUUUUUGUAGAUGGGCG